AGGAAAAAAUAUGGUGGAGACUUGUCAACCGCGAUAUUCGAUAUCAUUAUAGGAUUCCCACUAGACCAUGUUGCCAUUUGUUUCGACAACAGGACAGAAAUUGAGUUCGUGGAACACUUGGUCAAACAACUGAAAAACGGAACUGUUUUGAUAACAAUUUUUAACAUCGCCAUUACGGAAAUGCAAGAAAGGUAUUUCGAAUAUUUGUCAUAUCAGACGGAAAAUCAUUUAGAAUCGUACAAUAUCUUUUUUGGAACACAUCGACUAUAUGAACAUUUACUAUUGGAGAUUGCAAGCAGAAACUUCAUCCGACGAAACAUAAUCUAUAUUUUUUACUGGGGUCAGAGUCUAUUUUCGAGAUAUUUUCUGAGAAAUAUAAAAUACUGU